rnacentral:rRNA from 1 species
AACGAACGCUGGCGGCAUGCUUAACACAUGCAAGUCGAACGAGAUCUUCGGAUCUAGUGGCGCACGGGUGCGUAACGCGUGGGGAUCUACCAUAGGGUGCGGAAUAACUCAGAGAAAUUUGAGCUAAUACCGCAUAAUGUCUUCGGACCAAAGAUUUAUCGCCCUUUGAUGAACCCGCGUAAGAUUAGCUUGUUGGUGAGGUAAAGGCUCACCAAGGCGACGAUCUUUAGCUGGUCUGAGAGGAUGAUCAGCCACACUGGGACU